UUGCUUUGGCAGCAUGUUUACUAAAGUUGGAAUACUACAGAGAAGUAAGCAUGGGCCCUGCAAAUUCGAGAAGCGUUUCGUAUUUUU
rnacentral:snRNA from 1 species